AUGGCCGAUUCGUUGAAUGUGGAGGGGCAAUUGGUCAGGGAUGAGGAUGUUGUUAUUGGCAAUGGAGAUGACAGUGUUGUGGGAAGCAGAGUGGACGACGGUGAAUUGGAGAGGGAGGAGGACGAGAGCAGAAAGAAGAGGUGGUCGGCAUCUGUCAUGAAUCCGCCUCCCAAGAGGAGAGCGGUCUCAGCCAAGCGCAGAUUUCCGCCUGGCUGUGGGAGUGUUGCUGCUACCGGCAUCGGCGUCAGAGGUUGUGGUGUUUCUCUGAUGUUGAAGCGAGAUGAUUCUAAUCACGAAACAGAAAGCAAAAGAGAAGAGGUCGGAGGUGCCACCGAGGCACACAAUCAUAUGCAAGAAUCUCAAGUCGUCAAUUGUGUUGCUCCAGAUGAUUUUGCAGACCGUCCGCAAAAUUAUGUUGGUCAUGGCGCUUCUCCGAUUUUGAGGCGAGAUAAUUCUAAUAAUGAAACAGANNNNNNNNNNNNNNNNNNNNNNNNNNNNNNNNNNNNNNNNNNNNNNNNNNNNNNNNNNNNNNNNNNNNNNNNNNNNNNNNNNNNNNNNNNNNNNNNNNNNNNNNNNNNNNNNNNNNNNNNNNNNNNNNNNNNNNNNNNNNNGCGAGAUGAUUCUAAUCACGAAACAGAAGGCAAAAGAAAAGAGGUCGGAGGUGCCACCGGGGCACACAAUCAUACGCAAGAAUCUCAAGUCAUCAAUUGUGUCGCUCCAGAUGAUUUUGCAGACCGCCCACGAAAUUAUGCUGGUCAUGGUGCUUCUCCGAUUUUGAGGCGAGAUGAUUCUAAUGUGGAUAUAGAAGGCAAAAUAGAAGAGGUUGGAGGAGCUACCGAGGCACACAAUGAGAAGAUCCAAGAAUCUCAAGUCGUCAACGUUAUUGUUCAAGAUGGUUUUGCAAGAGGCCAACGCGGCCAUGAUAAUCCGCUAAAUGAUGUUACAGACGACUCACCAAGACAUAGUUUCUCAGAGCAGAUGAAUGGUAGAAGACUAUUACGUGAAAGGAAGCGCGCACCACUAGUAGUGGGGAACACUGAGAUUAGAAGCAGACGCGAAGGACGUGUGCAUGAUGGCACUCCGAGGACUCAUCCAAGAGGCCCACUUAAUGUGAAGAGAAAGGGCAAGAGUGCAGAGAUUGUCAAGAUCAAUGUGACAUUGGUAGAUGAUGCAGGGGUGAUUGACGUGAUACGCUCGGCAUCCAAGUGUGGAGAGCAUGUUGCGACCAAUCAAAUUGAAGAUAAGGAUGGUGUGGGCCUUAAUACUAAUAGGGUAAUUAUACAAGCAUUGAUGGCUCCAGACAGAUGCCCUUGGACGCAACGAAAGAAAUCUAUUGCCAGUGUUCCUAAAUCGCUUGGUCCUAGGAAAAAUGUGAAGAAAAAGGUUGCUACUCCAAGGAAAGAAUUGCACUCCAAAGUUACCCCUUCUACACCGGCUAGGCGCAAGGCAAGAGAGGGCGGAGAAGAUUCCUCCUCAAAAGAUGAUGAGAAAUCUUUGGCACGACUUGCGCAUGAAAGAAAUAAUAAAUCAUGCGUCAACAUCUCUCGAUGUCCUCCUUCCGACGAGGUGAGUGUUCAUAAGAUUGAUGAGAGAAGUCGAUUGAGCGAUCCAAAGGAUGUACCACUUGUAGCGGGGGUUGUUGAUGUAAAAACCAAAUGUGAAGGAAGCUUGCAAGAAGGUACUCCGAGGAACCAUGUGAGAGCUCUUGUUAAUGUGAAGACAAAGGGCAAGAAACCAGAUAAUGUCAAGGUGAAUGUGACAUUGUUAGAUGAUAGGCGGGUCUUUGAAGAUGACAAGACGAGAAACCAAAUUUCAAGAACUCGGAGAGGAGUGGCGCGCUCCUCAAAUAUUAAAAACGUGAAGAAAGGCAUGUUUGCUCAUAAGCGCGAUGGCAUCGACAAGGACUCUGGGAAUAAGUUCACAAAGGAGUCUAAGUGUGGGGAUCAUCUUCAGACUGAUCAAAUUAAAGAAAAUGAUAAUGUCGGCCUUGUUACCAACAAGAUGACUGUAUUAGCAUUGAUGGCUCCUGACAAAUGCCUGUGGACAGAAGGGAAGAGGUCUAUUGUUGGUGUUUCUCAGUCUCUCACUUGUAGGAAUAAUAACUCUCUUACCGUUCAUGAAGGCCUUUGUUUGUCUGACAUAUCUCAAGGAAAAGAGAGCAUUCCCAUAUGUGUGAUCAACACAAUUGAUGGCGUGCUGCCAACGCCAUUUAAGUACAUCACCAAAGUCAUAUAUCCGCCCUCAUAUGCAAAAGCACCUUCAAUAGGCUGUGACUGCACUAAUGGUUGCUCGGACUCUAGUGAAUGUGCUUGUGCUGUGAAAAAUGGAGGGGAGAUCCCAUUCAAUUUGAAUAGCGCAAUUGUUUAUACAAAGCCUCUCAUAUAUGAGUGUGGCCCAUCAUGCAGGUGCCCACCAACAUGCCACAAUAGGGUGAGCCAGCACGGCCCCAAAGUUCCACUGGAAAUAUUCAAGACUGGGAAGACAGGUUGGGGUGUAAGAUCCCUCAGUUUUAUCCCUUCAGGUAGUUUCGUAUGUGAGUAUGUAGGUGAGGUAUUGCAAGAGACAGAAGCUGAGAGGACAGAAAAUGAUGAGUACCUUUUUGAUAUUGGUCGUGACGAUGACGAUGACGAUGAUGAUGACGAUGACGAUGAUGACGAUGAAGAAAAAGAUUCACAAUCUUCUAAAUCCGAGAUGACAGCGGAGGGCUUGGGCUAUACAAUAGAUGCUGCAAAGUGUGGUAAUGUUGGAAGAUUCAUCAACCAUAGCUGCACUCCAAACAUGCAUGCACAGGAUGUUCUCUGGGACCAUGAUGAUAAGAGGAUGCCGCAUGUUAUGCUUUUCGCCGAAAAGAAUAUCCGUCCGCUACAAGAGCUUACUUACGAUUAUAAUUAUAACAUAGGUAAUGUGCGCAAGAAUGGCAAGGUGAAGGAGAAGAAAUGCUUCUGUGGUUCGUCGAAGUGCCGCCUCAGGCUUUACUAA
rnacentral:rRNA from 1 species